GGAAAGAUUUGUGACAUGUUCCUGUAACCUAGCUGCCAAAAAGGUUUGAUUUUGCCUGGCCAGUGUGAGACUGGCCAGUAGUCAGUCUUCUAUAGUAAUUUGGUGCUUGUGCUGAGCUUAGCACCAAUAUGGUGCGAGCAAGGGAGCUCACAAGGACUAGGUUGUCUAAGGAAGGUCUAUUCAGCCCAAAGUGGAAAUGCAGUAGGCAAAAGGCCUAUGUCAAGCUUUGCAGGGUGCAGAGUGGCAAUAUUAUACUUUUUACUUGGCUUACUCUUGCAUUUAGGGGAAAAUAGACUU
rnacentral:SRP_RNA from 1 species